rnacentral:rRNA from 1 species
GACGAACGCUGGCGGCGUGCUUAACACAUGCAAGUCGAACGAUGAAGCCCAGCUUGCUGGGUGGAUUAGUGGCGAACGGGUGAGUAACACGUGAGUAACCUGCCCUUGACUCUGGGAUAAGCGUUGGAAACGACGUCUAAUACCGGAUACGAGCUUCCACCGCAUGGUGAGUUGCUGGAAAGAAUUUUGGUCAAGGAUGGACUCGCGGCCUAUCAGCUUGUUGGUGAGGUAAUGGCUCACCAAGGCGACGACGGGUAGCCGGCCUGAGAGGGUGACCGGCCACACUGGGACUGAGACACGGCCCAGACUCCUACGGGAGGCAGCAGUGGUGAAUAUUGCACAAUGGGCGAAAGCCUGAUGCAGCAACGCCGCGUGAGGGACGACGGCCUUCGGGUUGUAAACCUCUUUUAGCAGGGAAGAAGCGAAAGUGACGGUACCUGCAGAAAAAGCACCGGCUAACUACGUGCCAGCAGCCGCGGUAAUACGUAGGGUGCAAGCGUUGUCCGGAAUUAUUGGGCGUAAAGAGCUCGUAGGCGGUUUGUCGCGUCUGCUGUGAAAUCCCGAGGCUCAACCUCGGGUCUGCAGUGGGUACGGGCAGACUAGAGUGCGGUAGGGGAGAUUGGAAUUCCUGGUGUAGCGGUGGAAUGCGCAGAUAUCAGGAGGAACACCGAUGGCGAAGGCAGAUCUCUGGGCCGCUACUGACGCUGAGGAGCGAAAGGGUGGGGAGCAAACAGGCUUAGAUACCCUGGUAGUCCACCCCGUAAACGUUGGGCGCUAGAUGUGGGGACCAUUCCACGGUUUCCGUGUCGUAGCUAACGCAUUAAGCGCCCCGCCUGGGGAGUACGGCCGCAAGGCUAAAACUCAAAGGAAUUGACGGGGGCCCGCACAAGCGGCGGAGCAUGCGGAUUAAUUCGAUGCAACGCGAAGAACCUUACCAAGGCUUGACAUAUACGAGAACGGGCCAGAAAUGGUCAACUCUUUGGACACUCGUAAACAGGUGGUGCAUGGUUGUCGUCAGCUCGUGUCGUGAGAUGUUGGGUUAAGUCCCGCAACGAGCGCAACCCUCGUUCUAUGUUGCCAGCACGUAAUGGUGGGAACUCAUGGGAUACUGCCGGGGUCAACUCGGAGGAAGGUGGGGACGACGUCAAAUCAUCAUGCCCCUUAUGUCUUGGGCUUCACGCAUGCUACAAUGGCCAGUACAAAGGGCUGCAAUACCGUAAGGUGGAGCGAAUCCCAAAAAGCUGGUCCCAGUUCGGAUUGAGGUCUGCAACUCGACCUCAUGAAGUCGGAGUCGCUAGUAAUCGCAGAUCGGCAACGCUGCGGUGAAUACGUUCCCGGGCCU